CAAGACAAGACCCGGGAUUCUGU
rnacentral:piRNA from 1 species